UAGUAAGUGGUAGGAAGUUUGGUA
rnacentral:piRNA from 1 species